rnacentral:rRNA from 1 species
GACGAACGCUGGCGGCGUGCUUAACACAUGCAAGUCGAACGGAAAGGCCCUGCUUUUGUGGGGUGCUCGAGUGGCGAACGGGUGAGUAACACGUGAGUAACAUGCCCUUGACUUUGGGAUAACUUCAGGAAACUGGGGCUAAUACCGGAUAGGAGAUCCUGCUGCAUGGUGGGGGUUGGAAAGUUUGGGCGGUUGGGGCUGGACUCGCGGCUUAUCAGCUUGUUGGUGGGGUAGUGGCUGACCAGGGCUUCGACGGGUAGCCGGCCUUAGAGGUUGACCGGCCACAUUGGUACUGCGAUACGCCCCAGACUCCUACGGGAGGCAGCAGUGGGGAAUAUUGCACAAUGGGCGGAAGCCUGAUGCAGCAACGCCGCGUGCGUGAUGCCGGCCUUCGGGUUGUAAACCGCUUUCGCCUGUGACGAAGCGUGAGUGACGGUAAUGGGUAAAGAAGCACCGGCUAACUACGUG